UACAGAGGGUGCAAGCGUUGUUCGGAAUUAUUGGGCGUAGAGCGCGUGUAGGCGGCUUUGCAAGUCGGGUGUGAAAGCCCUCGGCUCAACCGAGGAAGUGCGCCCGAAACUGCAGAGCUUGAGUGCCGGAGGGGGUGGCGGAAUUCCCCAAGUAGAGGUGAAAUUCGUAGAUAUGGGGAGGAACACCAGUGGCGAAGGCGACUACCUGGCCUGUUCUUGACGCUGAGGCGCGAAAGCUAGGGGAGCAAACGGG
rnacentral:rRNA from 1 species